rnacentral:rRNA from 1 species
AUCGAACGCUGGCGGCAGGCCUAACACAUGCAAGUCGAACGAGAGGCGGACGGGUGAGCAAUGUCUGGGAAACUGCCUGAUGGAGGGGGAUAACGACUGGAAACGUUAGCUAAUACUGCAUACCGUCAUUUGUGCCCAGGCGGGAUUAGCUUGCUGGUGGGGUAUCGGCUCACCAAGGCGACGAUCCCUAGCUGGUCUGAGAGGCUGACCAGCCACACUGGAACUGAGACACGGUCCAGACUCCUACGGGAGGCAGCAGUAGGGAAUAUUGCACAAUGGGCGCAAGCCUGAUGGAGCAAUGCCGCGUGUGUGAAGAAGGCCUUCGGAUUGUAAAGUACUUUCAGCAGGGAGGCGUUACCCGCAGAAGAAGCAACGGCUAACUACGUGCCAGCAGCCGCGGUAAUAC